ACACUUUUCCUUUUCAUACGACCACACACAAGCAAAAACCUCGACCGGACCACACGCGGCGCCGCCGCUCCGCCGCUAAGCCUCCUUCCCAUGCCCGCCGCUAAGCUUCCUUCCCAUGCCCGCCGUCACCGCUGACAAGCGCACUGUGGCCCUUCCGCAUCCAUAGGCUGCCGCCGCGCUCCCCCGCCACGAGACCCUGCCCCACUUCGGAUGCCCUUUCGACCACACAUCCCCCUCCGCUUCCUACUGCCUCACCUCCAGCACCGCAUUGCCCGCCCACCCAGACCUCCACGUAGAUCGCUUUCCUACUCUCUCGCGGCGGCGUUGUCAGCGGCUGGAACAGAGUCCGAGGAGGAGGCGGUUGUGGGUAGGGACGCGCCGUUAGCCCCUCCACGCCCAGGCGGGGCGGGAAGUGGAGCGCCUGGGCGUGGCUGGGCACAGCAGGGGGCGCUCGAUGAGGAAAGUGCGGAGCUCGAGCGGAAGGCCUCUAUCGUCGCACGGUUCAGGCACUGCCAUGAGCUUCUGUGGCAGACUAGGUGGCGGGAGAUGCGCCACGGGUUGGCCCAGAUGGUGGAUGAACAAGGUUCUGAUUCUGCUCCGACUCUAUGUGAUAUUCUGUGGUGUGGAUUCAGGGAAUGGGAUUCAAGCAGCAUUGUGUGGGAUGCUCUAGCAAAUAGUUAUGCUAGAGCUCAGAUGAAUCAUGAUGCUCUUUAUGUUCUUAGUAAAAUGAACAGCCUAAACAUGCAAAUCUCAAUAACCACCUAUGAUAGUUUAUUGUACAGUCUAAGAAAGGCAGAUGUGGCACUGGCGAUUUUUAAAGAGAUGGAGUCAUGUGGUAUUCCCCCCAGUGAUUAUUCCCAUGGCAUUCUCAUAGAUGGACUCUGCAAGCAAGGUAAAAUUGGAGAAGCUUUAUCUUUCCUUCAGGAAACAAGGAAAGAGGGGAAAUUCAAACCCUUGGGAAUGACCUUUAACACCCUUAUGUCCGCAUUGUGUAAUUGGGGGUUCAUUCAGGAUGCAAAAUCAGUUUUCUGCCUGAUGUUGAAGUAUGGAUUAAAUCCAAGCAGGCACACAUAUUCAACCAUUAUACAUGGUCUAUGUAAAGUAGGUUCUGUAAAUGAAGCAUUCGAUAUUUUUCAGAGUGUGACAGAAGAAGGAAUGGAACUUGAUAUUGUCACUUGCAACAGCCUUAUUAAUGGCUUUCGCUUGCAUGGGCAUACAAGAGAAAUUCCAAAAAUGAUUGAGAUGAUGAGGGGCCUAGGUGUCGAACCCGAUGUUGUUACUUAUACUAUACUUAUUACUGGCCACUGUGAAGGCGGUGAUGUCGAAGAAGGGAUGAGGAUAAGAAAGGACAUCUUAGGCCAAGGUAUAGAGUUGAAUAUUGUCACAUAUAGCGUCCUUAUCAAUGCUCUCUUCAAGAAGGGCCUGUUCUAUGAGGUCGAAAACCUAUUUGGUGAGAUAUGCAGUAUUGGUCUGGAAUUGGAUGUCAUUGCAUAUUCCAUCCUCAUCCAUGGGUUCUGCAAGCUAGGAGAAAUUGGAAGAGCACUUCAAGUCUGGAAUCUAAUGUGCUGUUCUCAGAGGGUAAUUCCAACUUCAGUAAACCAUGUAUCUAUUCUUCUAGGCCUUUGCAAGAAAGGAUUCCUUGAUGAAGCGAGGUCAUAUUUGGAAACUGUGGCUAGCAAAUAUCAGCCAUCCGAUGUAGUCCUCUACAAUGUAGUUAUUGAUGGUUAUGCAAAAGUGGGUGAUAUUGGUAAUGCUGUUCAGCUGUAUGAUGCGAUUAUUAUGGCUGGUAUGUGCCCAACCAUUGUAACAUGCAACUCUCUUCUAUAUGGCUACUGCAAAUUUGGGGAUCUACAUAUGGCAGAAAGCUAUUUUAUGGCUAUUCAGUUAAGUGACCUGCUGCCAACAACAGUUACCUACACUACUUUGAUGGAUGCACUCUCUGAAGCUGGGAAAGUUCAUUCCAUGCUAAGUAUUUUUAAAGAAAUGACUGGAAAAGGUAUCAGACCAAAUGCAAUAACUUACAGUGUAGUUAUUAAAGGACUUUGUAAGCAGUUAAUGUUCCACGAUGCCAAAAAUGUUCUUGAUGAUAUGUAUAGAGAAGGUUUUGAUGCUGAUCCAAUACCUUACAACACGCUUAUACAAGGUUUUUGUGAAACUCAGGAUGCUAAAAAUGCUUUCUACGUGUAUGAACUAAUGGUAUGUCGUGGAGUGAUGCCCUCUCCUGUUACUUAUAACUUGCUUGUUAAUGUGCUGUGCUUAAAGGGACUAGUUAUUCACGCUGAAAUGAAACUGGAGUCCUUCAGAAAACAGGGUGCCGAGCUGAGAAAAUUUGCAUAUACAACACUUAUCAAAGCUCAAUGUGCAAAAGGGAUGCCUUACAAGGCUAUUAUGUGGGUUGGCAAGCUUCUAGAUGCAGGGUUUGAGGCAUCUAUUGAAGACUUCAGUGCGGCAAUCAACCGACUAUGCAAAAGACAGUUCACCAGAGAAGCUUUGAUGCUCAUAUCGAUCAUGUUAUCUGUUGGUGUUUAUCCAGAUAUUCAACUAUACCGUGUACUGGGUACAGCUGUACAGAAGAAAAAUGAGUCAUUCUAUCUACCCAUAUUGCAAGCCCUUGCUAUCAAAACUGGUAUUUAGUACUUUGAGUCUGAAGGGCAGGCCUGGUGCAGUGGUGAUAGCUGUCUGACUAAGUCACCAUGUCACGGGUUCGAAGCAGCCUCUCCGCAUCUGCGGAGGAAGGCUUGCCUUGGUUUAUCCCGUCGCAUCUGCGGAGGUGGUGCUGCUGUGCAUCGCUGUGGGCUGUGAGGCGGAGGCACUGCAUCUCGCUGUGAAGUGGACUGCUCCAUCCUCUCUAUGAUCCUGCACCAUCAGGGGUUCGGGUGACCUUUGAGGAUGGUGGUUAACUGGUUACCUUGAAGAUCCCGGUGCCAUUGAUUCUUUGCUACUUGGCCUCUCCACUGCUGGCAACAGACCCAGGGAAUGAAUUAGAUACCUAUUCUUGACCCCUUCCCGCCCAAGGAGGAGCAGGCAGGAACUCCGGUAUAUGGUGGUAAUUGGUGGCACCUUUAUGUACUUCUUUAGGGGCAGCCUACCAUGGCAGGGGCUGAAAGCAGGAUCAAGAAGCAGAAAUAUGACAAAAAUUAGUGCGAAAUGGAUACUCCCAUGGAGGAUACCAGUUUUGACUGGACCAUUUUGAAGUAUCCUCAGAUAGGCUGCAACCUGCGGAUGAAGGCAAGUGACAGAACUAGUGGAGGUGUUGGACCUUCAAUGGAUACAAUUGAGAAGACCCCAGGAGGUGUCCGAUAGAAGGAAUCCUAGUGGUUAUGUGAAUCCGAGUGGCAAUUAUGCCCAAUGACCACGUGAGAACAUAUGUAUGUCAUUGAACGAAAUUCCAUGCACUAUUCAACACGGUAAGGGCUCGUUUGGUUGCAUGAUAAAUUGGAGGUAAACUGAAACUGUCGCUGCAACAAUUCUUCUUGUGAUCGUUGCUCCUUGCCAAUUCAUCGAUCUGAGUUUAUCGACGUCGCCCAGAUCGACUCCAUUGCCUCUCACCAUCUCCAAAAUUUGUGGCCGAGCGCUCGCCAUCACCAGAGCUGCAGGGGUUCCUCGCCGCCUCAACCACCCACACCUUUCUCCAUCGGCGCGACGGCUUCAGAGCCUUCUCCAAAAUCUGUGGCAGAGCGCUCACCGAUGCCAGAGCCACAAUGCUUCCUUGCCGCCUCAAAAUCGGUUUGGUUUUAGUUUCAUUUCACGUCAAAGGUUGUCAUGACAUUUAUUCAUCGUUUGAUAAAUAUGUUGAAGUUGAACAUCUAGAGGAUGAUAACAAGUGUAACGAACCAUCUUUUAUGGUUCGUUAAGAUAAAAGUCCAGAGCAUGGACAUGACACAAGGUGAUGGUGAUGCAGCUACGUCGAUCAUGAUUCAUUUAGGAUUGAAUGAAGUUACUGGUGUGACCUUGUCGAGACUGAAGUAAGGAGGGAUAGAGCUAAAAACUCUCUUGACAAUCUUAGUGCCAACGUCUUCUGUGAAAGGAGGCAGCAUAUCAAUUGGAGGUUCUCUUCAGCUUCUUGGUUUCUGCACCUUUGAGGCUUGUGUUGGCAUAUUGGCCGUCAAUCAUGAAGAUGAGAUCUCAGUACAUUCCUGAGGAAGCGAGAAGCACAAUCAUGAACUUCUUCCGCAUACCACUCAACUUAUUUGUUUGUGUGGUGCUUUACAUCGUGAAUGCAUUCCCUAUCACUGUCAUGUUUGGGAUGUGUUCUAUCUUCCUCUUCAUGGCAGCCAUCUUGCUGCACAUGCAAGGGAGGAACCUGCUUAUAGAUAUGUUUCUUUACUAUCACAAUUAUUUGAAACCACUGGAUUAUAGGGAGAAAACUGUUAUUGCUUGCCUCCUUACGGGAUGACUCAUGGUACAACGUCAUUUGAAUACAUAUGGUCGACAAUGAAGUUUAGUAUUGAUUUCUGAAUCAUCAAAGGCUCGUGCAGUUGCCCAGCCUUGGUGCUCAACGUCAGAAAGAACUCACUUCUCGGUAGCGCGCUUGCCGAUUUUUGACGGCCAUAAUGGCAAAGAUGCUGCUCAAUAUGUCUAUGAUAACUUGCCAUGGGUCAUCAUGGAAGAUGAUGAUUUAUCUCUUGAGCUUAAAAAGGGUACUCCAUGUGUGGAAGAGUUCACCCCAAAAAAUUGUGAAAUGUUAUGCAACAAUACGAAGCUUGAUCUUGCUACUGUCGAGACCGAUGUUGAUGAGAAAGUCGAAGAUAAGGUAUGUUCUUAUGUGGAUCAACUUCUUGCAGCUAUGCGAGCCAAAGAUUCUACCAUGCACGUAUGUCGCCGCCGCGAGGGUCAUGUGCUAGCAGAUAUAAAUCUAUACAAAAGGUAAUGCUAUAUGUGGAUAUGAAAGUCAAUGGUGUACAUUUGAAGGGAUACAAAAAUAAUUUCAUGUGUACUUUUGGAGUCUUCCAAGUUGUGCUGGGAACUAGGCAUACAGGAAAAGGAAGGAGCCUGAUGUAGAGAAGCAAAAGGAACCAAUUCUAGAGCAUGUCACAGUGUUACUUGCCAGUCAUUAUCACCUAAAAUUUACAACUCGCGAUGUGUUUCUUCCCUUUGAUUUAUUUGUAAGCAGGAAGCAUCUUUGUUGAAUACAACAAAUCAAGCUUGUGGGCUUUAUAAUGAAGCUGAGGUUUAGGAAAAGAUACAAUUUCUUAUUUGAUGAAGACUUUCCUGCUGAAAAAUAAAGACUCCAAAAAAUGAUUAAGAAAUCUAAGGACCUAGAUGCCAUUGGAGAAAUGAAGAGUCGUGUCACAUGGAUUGAUAAGCAGUUGAAGUCUCAUCCUCCAAAGAACGUUGAAUCGGAAAUCUUGCGUGAGCAUAUCAAGAAAGAGAGGGAGGCAGCAAAGGCUGGAAAACGACCAUACUAUCUGAAGAAACCUGAACUUCGCGAAAGGAAGCUGAUGAACAAGUACAAUGAGCUCAAGGAGGCAGGAAAGCUUGAUGCAUUCAUGGAAAAGCGGCGGAGGAAGAAUGCCUCCAAAGAUCAUCGGUUCAUGCUGUACCGACGCUCAGCAACAACGAGCUGCGCGGCCGCCUCCCCGCCGGCCUCUCCGGCCUCCGCGACCUGCAGUACCUGAUCUUGGAGAACAACCCCAUGGGCGGCGUCCCGCUGCCGCCCGAGCUGGGCAACAUCCCCAGGCUCCAGGAGCUCCGGCUGGCCAACUCCGGCUACUCGGGCCCCAUACCGGACACGUUCGGCCUCCUGUCCAGCCUCACCACGCUGUCGCUGGAGAACAACAACCUCACCGGGCGGAUCCCGCCGGGGCUCAGCCGUCUCAAGCGCAUGUACCACCUCAACCUGAGCAAGAACGGGCUGGACGGCGUCGUCCCUUUCGACGCCGCGUUCCUCAGGCGGCUCGGCCGGAACCUGGACCUGAGCGGCAACCCGGGGCUGUGCGUCACCGACCGGGCCGUCAUGCCGGGCGUGGGCGUCGGAGUCUGCGGCGACGACGUCGUCGACUGCGAACGGUCCGCCGCCGCGGAGAGCUCGGUCGUCGGGAGAGUGGUCAGGGGAGAGGUGACGACGGGUCGCUGGCCGGCCGGGCUGCUCAGGCCCGCCGCGGUUGCGCUGUGCAGCUGCCUUUUGCUAUGAGCUCCUCUGAUCAUCCAGGGUCGGUGCAUUGCAUGCAAUUGUUUGCACUCGUUGAUCUCUCUGUACGUAGGUGUGUUGCUGUAACUCGCGAUGUUGAUUGUUUGAGGUGUGUAGUUGGGAUUCGUGACAAGAAGUCCAAGUGAAGCGUGAAGACCGGGGAGUUAGGAUGACGUUGUUUCUUUUGUGCGUGAUUGGCACACGUGGGGUUUGUCGGAUCACUUCAUUCACAUUCG